AAAUUGAAGAGUUUGAUCAUGGCUCAGAUUGAACGCUGGCGGCAGGCCUAACACAUGCAAGUCGAACGGUAACAGGAAUCAGCUUGCUGAUUCGCUGACGAGUGGCGGACGGGUGAGUAAUGUCUGGGAAACUGCCUGAUGGAGGGGGAUAACUACUGGAAACGGUAGCUAAUACCGCAUAAUGUCGCAAGACCAAAGAGGGGGACCUUCGGGCCUCUUGCCAUCGGAUGUGCCCAGAUGGGAUUAGCUAGUAGGUGGGGUAACGGCUCACCUAGGCGACGAUCCCUAGCUGGUCUGAGAGGAUGACCAGCCACACUGGAACUGAGACACGGUCCAGACUCCUACGGGAGGCAGCAGUGGGGAAUAUUGCACAAUGGGCGCAAGCCUGAUGCAGCCAUGCCGCGUGUAUGAAGAAGGCCUUCGGGUUGUAAAGUACUUUCAGCGGGGAGGAAGGGAGUAAAGUUAAUACCUUU
rnacentral:rRNA from 1 species